CCUACGGGUGGCAGCAGUGAGGAAUAUUGGUCAAUGGGCGCGAGCCUGAACCAGCCAAGUCGCGUGAGGGAAGACGGUCCUAUGGAUUGUAAACCUCUUUUGUCGGGGAGCAAAAGCCGCCACGCGUGGCGUUCCGAGAGUACCCGAAGAAAAAGCAUCGGCUAACUCCGUGCCAGCCGCCGCGGUAAUACGGAGGAUGCGAGCGUUAUCCGGAUUUAUUGGGUUUAAAGGGUGCGCAGGCGGAAGAUAAAGUCAGCGGUAAAAUUGAGAGGCUCAACCUCUUCGAGCCGUUGAAACUGUUUUUCUUGAGUGCUGGAGAGGCGAUCGGAAUUCGGGGUGUAGCGGUGAAAUGCGUAGAUAUACGGAGGAACACCAGUGGCGAAGGCGGAUUGCUGGACAGUAACUGACGCUGAGGCGCGAAAGCGUGGGGAGCAAACAGGAUUAGAUACCCUAGUAGUC
rnacentral:rRNA from 1 species